rnacentral:rRNA from 1 species
GUUUAGAGGUAAACGGAUGGGACCGCAAGGCUCCCCGCGGGAUUCAACCUUUCCGGUCGUCGAUCGGCCGCGCGUCUCGAUCCGUAYGGACGGGGCCGCGGUCGAUGUCGGCGUCGGGGGGCGCACUUUCCGCGGGACACUCGCCAGGACCGGUUCGUGGGUGGCCGCAAGCCGCCGGGAGCAAGGUAGCCGUCCCCGGACGGUGCUUAGGCUCUCGCGGUGGGCCGCACCCGCGGACCGAGGAACACGCCCGCCGUGGCACGGGCCCCCCGUCCUCGCGCCCGAGACGACUGGCGCGGACUGUUCGCAGUGCUCGCCGACCGCCGGACGCGCAGUGGCGGGGACCUCCCGUGCCGACACCGAGGGUCUCUGGCUAAUCGGUCGGCACCCCAUCCGACCCGUCUUGAAACACGGACCAAGGAGUCUAACAUGUGCGCGAGUCACUGGGUGGCAAACCUAUGGGCGCAAUGAAGGUGAAGUCCCGCUCGUCGGGAUCAGGUAGGAUCCCCGCCCUCGGGCGGGGCGCACUACCGGCCC